rnacentral:lncRNA from 1 species
GUUGGUGGUGGGGGUGGGUGGGGUGUUGUUGUUGUUGUUGCAUGUGGUGAGGAUUUUGUUGAGGGAUUUGAUGGUGUAGUGACAUUUCUAGUCCUAACAUACCAUGACCCAUAUUUGAAUAUAUACUACCAGAAUCCAUCAAAAUAAUUAAAAAUAUUCAAAAUCUUGAAAACCCCACUAAGCAAAAUCUUAUGAUAAACAACUAUCACUUCACAAUUCAAGUGUACAUACUGAUCCUAUGUGCCAAACAAGAAAAAUAGAUGGGACCAAAACCAGAAGGAAAAAUAAAAUACCUCAAAACCCAAGAAUUAAAAGGCCAAAAUGAGAGAAGGUUAAGUAAACAUCACGAUGUACCAAGACUUCUUUUUGCACUGAACAAAAGUUCAAAACUUUGAAACAAAUGCUGGCUAAAAGUGCAAGAAAGAGAGCAAGAAUUGGUUUUUUGGAGGUUGAAAUAUACUGUGAAUGGAUUUGUUUGAAGGGUUUAUACAAAGAAUGAGCAGCUGGUUUUGUGUUUGGCUAAAUAAAACUGCCCAUGGUUUUCUUGAAGUUGUCAGCUAAAAUUUUAUAGGUGGGAUAUAGGGUUAAGUUUUAAAGAGAAGGAAUCCACAGGAUUUUGCAAAACUGUCCACUUUU